rnacentral:miRNA from 1 species
UUAUGUUUUGUUUGUUUCUUUGUUUUGGGACAAGAGUCUUAUUCUGUAGUUCAGGCUGGCCCUGAACUCACUAUGUACCCCAAGCUGGCCUCAAACUCAUGGCAAUCCUCCUGCCUCAGCCUC